ensembl:snoRNA
CCUGCCCCUAGAGGCACUGUAGGUGUGGUGCUAUCCCACAUGUUCAUCAUGGGGUGAUAGGGGGAGAGAAGCUAUGUCUACAGUGUGUUGAACUAUGAUUAUCUGAUGAUCAGUAGCCUAACAUC